rnacentral:rRNA from 1 species
GAUGAACGCUGGCGGCGUGCCUAAUACAUGCAAGUCGAGCGAACAGACGAGGAGCUUGCUCCUCUGACGUUAGCGGCGGACGGGUGAGUAACACGUGGAUAACCUACCUAUAAGACUGGGAUAACUUCGGGAAACCGGAGCUAAUACCGGAUAAUAUAUUGAACCGCAUGGUUCAAUAGUGAAAGACGGUUUUGCUGUCACUUAUAGAUGGAUCCGCGCCGCAUUAGCUAGUUGGUAAGGUAACGGCUUACCAAGGCAACGAUGCGUAGCCGACCUGAGAGGGUGAUCGGCCACACUGGAACUGAGACACGGUCCAGACUCCUACGGGAAGCAGCAGUAGGGAAUCUUCCGCAAUGGGCGAAAGCCUGACGGAGCAACGCCGCGUGAGUGAUGAAGGUCUUCGGAUCGGAAAACUCUGUUAUUAGGGAAGAACAAAUGUGUAAGUAACUAUGCACGUCUUGACGGUACCUAAUCAGAAAGCCACGGCUAACUACGUG